rnacentral:misc_RNA from 1 species
UAAAAUUGAACUUAAAAGAGGUGAUAUACAAGAUGGCAAUUUCAACCAGCCUCGCACUGAACUUAACCCAGCAGGAAUCCUGAUGCAGGAGCAACCGAAGUCCUUUUCAGUAUUGGAUUUUAUUUGGUUUUCUAUUCAGUUCUUGAUUUUAUUUAGUUUUAGUUUUCUUGUUCUUUAAUUAGGAUUCUUGUCUAUUAAUUGUUGAUUAAUUACUAUUAGUUUUCAAUCUUUGAGUAAGAUUUAUCAUAGAUAGCAUAAGGUUGCUGGCAGACCAUAGACAUAUCAAGA